ensembl:lncRNA
CUCUUCUGUUGGGGGUCUCGGACUGACAUAGCCUCGGCCAAUCACAGCCUGAGUCAGAGGUGGCGGCCCAUAGGGGGCGUGAUGGCGGCCAUGCCGUUCGUCAGCGAGGGAAAGUGUGUGAGCGUGGAGUGGGACUUCCUACAGGGGCUUCUCGCCAAACCACCCACCUUACCCUGCUUGCAGAACUUGAGGAAGGAGAAGUCGCGCAAUGCUGCUCGUUCUCGGCGGGGUAAGGAGAACUUUGAGUUCUUCGAGCUGGCGAAGAUGCUUCCUCUCCCCGGGGCAAUUACCAGCCAGCUGGACAAGGCCUCCAUCAUCCGCCUCACCAUCAGUUACCUGCACAUGAGACACUUUGCCAGUCAGGGAGACCCACCCUGGAGCCCUCUAAUGGAGGGAGCGAACAACUGCAACAAGAUGCGGAGAACAAGUCAUUCGCUGGUCAAUGACAUAUUUGAACAACACCUUGGAGCUCAUCUACUACAGUCUCUGGAUGGAUUUGUGUUUGUGGUCAGUCAGGAAGGACGAUUUCUGUAUAUCUCAGAGACUGUGUCCAUCUACCUUGGCCUUUCACAGGUUGAGUUGACUGGCAGUAGCGUGUUCGAUUACAUCCACCCUGCGGAUCAUGUUGAAAUGGCGGAGCGUCUUGGCAUUAGGCCACACCUCCGGGCAGAGGCAGGCUGUCAAACGUCCCACGAGAGCGCUUCAAGCUCCGCCUCCACAUCCUCACUGGCCGGCACUCCAGAACCAGCACCAUCUAGUCCCCGUUCUCCAGUCAGUGAGUUAUCAGAACGUGGCUUCUUCAUCAGGAUGAAAUCCACCCUCACCAAGCGUGGCCUCCACAUUAAAUCCUCGGGCUAUAAAGUGAUUCAUGUGACAGGUCGGAUUCGGUGUCGGCCAGCUCUGGUGCCAGGCUCCUCCCGUGCCUUGCAUCGACCAAUGGGAUUGGUCGCUCUGGCUCACACACUUCCGCCCUCCACGCUCAAUGAGGUGCGCAUGGAAAGUCACAUGUUUGUCUUCAGAGUCAACAUGGACCUGCAGGUCACCUACUGUGAGAACAGGAUAUCAGAGUAUAUGGACCUGAGCCCAGCUGAGGUGGUUGGACGUACCUGCUACCACUUCAUCCAUGCAGAAGACCUAGACACCAUCAGACAGAGCCACGAAGACUUGCUGCGGAAAGGGCAGGUUGUGACGGGGUACUAUCGCUGGCUGCAGAGGAGAGGAGGCUAUCUGUGGAUUCAGUCCUGUGCCACCGUGUCCAUUAACCACAAAGCGCCCCAUGAGCGUAACGUCAUCUGGGUCAACUAUGUGCUCAGUCGCCCAGAGCUGGCAGACAUGCCUCUGGACUUAUUACAACUCCCAGAAAGCCUGAGGGCAGAGCGGCUUCAAGCAAGCUCCUCCCCAUGCGACACCUCUCCAAAGGCACAAGGCUCCACAGGGACACAACCAUUGAAAGGCAGGCCCGAGACAGACCACAAGGGGAAAGAAGCAUUCUCGCACACUGCUGCCAGCCAAUCAGAGAACACCAGGAAGAGAUUGCACCAGUCUGAUGCUGAAAGCGGCCCUCCUGUGGCAAGGAGGCGGAUGGAGGUGUUCAGGCAAAGAGAGGACAGCCCAUGUCCCUCCUCAGACCAAGCCAGUGACAGCGAGGUGGAAGAGGACGAUGAGAGGGAGAACGAGUGGGACCACAACCUCACCAGCAAACGGGUGAAGAGAGAAGAGGGGCCAUUGAAACAAGGCAAUGGGGCCAAUGGAGCAGGUAAAAUCCACAAUGGCCGUGCAGUGAUCCAGCAUCUUAAGAGUGUGGUGACCAAUUCAGGGUCGAAUAUUAAGACUGAACAAGAAGUGAUGGGAACAACUGUAGGCCCAGGUUCUGGGAGGCACUGGAGCCAAGCUCAGCCCAGCAGUGGAGGAACCAAUGGCAGCAGUCCACCUUCCCAUCCUCAAAAUUCCACCCCUACAGAAGCUUCAUCCAAGGGUCUGUUUAACCCCCCUUCCCCAACCCUGUCGCCAACCAUUCCUGCCACAUCCAUGCCCAGAGAUGAUCGGUCUAUCCACGGAGGGCGCGCUCCAGACUUUGAACUACUGCAGAGACUGACUGCAAGUGGGGCUGCAGGACAUGUUCUCUUUCACCCCCUGGCUCUUGGCCCACAGGGGCCCCAGAGUCUCUAUGCUCCCAGCACUAUUCGCUACGCCCCACCUGAGAUGCCAACAGCUCACACUGAAGGGCACCGCUCAGACCAUGUGGCCAAAACUCCCGCUUUCUUUCCCCACUUGCAAAGGAUUGCAUCUCUGCCUUCCUUUAACGGUUUUUCUCCAGCUGAACCCAUUUUUCCUCCACCUCUGCCCUUCUGUAUGAAUGGACUGAGGGGGGCAGCAGGGACAGAUGAGGAUUGA